rnacentral:rRNA from 1 species
CCCUUGUACACACCGCCCGUCACACCAUGGGAGUGGGUUGUACCAGAAGUAGUUAGCUUUAUCCGCAAGGGGGGCGACUACCACGGUAUGGUUCAUGACUGGGGUG